GCUGGGUGUGGUGGUGUGCACCUGUAGUCCUAGCUACUUGGGGUGCUGAGGUGGGAGGAUUGCUUGAGCCCAGGAGUUGGAAGCUGCAGUGAGCCGUGUUCAUACCACUGCACUCCAGCCUGGGCGACAAAGCAAGACCCUGUCUCAA
rnacentral:SRP_RNA from 1 species